CUUCCCCCAUAACACUGCUAUUCUGUAUUUUUCUAAAUUUUUUUCAUUCUCUAGUAUGAAAUUUAAAGCCAUUAAUUAUGAAACCAUUAUAUCUAUUCACAAUUUUGUUAGGUCCUCGAGCAAGAGCUAUUAGUUCAUCUGAAUUAUUUCUCUCCAUCAUCUUUGAUACCUAAAAAAAAUGAUAUGAAGUGCUGUUGAGUUAUCUGAUAUUAAAUAUGUAUCAAAAAUUAAUGUAUCCCACAAUUAAAUAUAAAUCACACCUGAUUCGAAAGUCACAUAGGGAAUAACUCGACCAACCAUCGCUGUUCAAUCCUUGCAUUAGGAUGAAUAUUAUGAUUGGCUCGUCUCUGAUAAAUUAAAAAUUCACUGCAUAAAAUAUAAAUAUAUCAUUUAGAACAUUAUAUCUAAUAUAAAAUUUAAAUCUUGAUGUCAUGCCUUAAAUAUACUAACCAGCGAUGGUCAGAUAUUAUAUCACUAUGAAGUAACACAUAACGAUGUGCUUGUGCUAAGGAUUUUUGAUCAAGUACAAUACUUUCAGCUCUUCUCAAGAAUUUUCCAGCAGUUGAGAACUUAUACAGUUCUGCAUUCUCCACAAAGUC
rnacentral:lncRNA from 1 species